ensembl:lncRNA
CCAGGUGUGCACACAGACGGGUGCAAGUAGCCCAGCUGUGGCAGGUCAGGGAAGGAGCGGGAGGAGAGGCAGGCGAGGCCAAGGCAGAGGCAGGGCGCACAGGGCCCGCGGGCCCAGCAGGUAGCUGACUGACAGCUGAAGGUAGUGCACACGCCGAGGGUUUCAAACAGGAUUCUGCUCCAAUUUUACCAUUGCGUCUUCCUCCCACCUGGACCUUUCAAAGAAGAGGCACUCAAGGAGCGUUCAUUGAUGUGAACUGAAGAGGCCAAACCCACAGCGGGCUACAGACCUACGUGCUAAGAAGAAAGAUCCCCCUUUCCUUUCUCCUCCUCGCUCCCUAACCUGAGCCCCCUUCCUUCCUGCAAGCCCUGCCCUUGGCUGGGAAGUGGAAACAACCAGAACAGGCACAAAGCCACCCCAUGCAGAUGACAGACUGACCUCCCAGCUGGGUUCCUGGAUGCCCUGGACCACUUACUCCUCCGGCAGAACAGGGAAGGCCCACCCGCUCACCUCUGGACCACAGCAUAAGAGAGGAGGAGACACCCGCUUCCGUUAGACCCCGCAUCCCUGAGCCCUCCGUGCACCAGCUCCGUCUGGACCUUCUGCAGCCCACAGCCUUACUUUGGAGAUUGCAGAUACCACAUCCAAGCUACUAGACACAGUGGAUCUGUGGUUAGUGGAUACUAACAGAUUUUAACGAUUGCCCAGGGGACUCAAGUUUCUGAAGAAUUUCACACUUUAACAUCCAACUUGACUUCUGCCCCCAGGAUGUGAGGCAGGAACUAUCACCAUCCCUACUUUACAAACGAGGAAGCUGAGGCUUUCAGAGAGAAGAGUUCGGAACAGUCUCCAAGGAGGCGUCAGACCUGAAAAGCUGCCAGGGAGGCACUGCAGAAUCAGUGCCGCAAAGGCUCACGCUGACUGCGAGGGAACGACAAGAAACGCCCUGCCUGCUGCAUCAGGGAGCAAGUCUCGCCUCCACGUUUUACAAAUACCUGCUGCCCACCUACAUGCCCCAGGUUGCUGGACAGCAGAAACACGGGCUCCACACUAUCCCUUCCAUCCUCCACAACCCUCGGCUUCCCCAUUAGGCCCUCAGACACACAGACUCCUUCCUCCUUCCACUCCCCCUCAAAAAGUCCCACAUAUUAGCUCCAGCAAACAGAGCCCCAGGAGGAUCCCACGGCUUGGUUCUGCCACCAGCCAGACUCCAGGGCACGCUCCGGCUCGGCAGCAUCAGCCCUGCCCUCUGCUGCCCUAAGGAAAAUCUUUGCAGAGCCUUAGUGAGGCCUCCACCUCUAAGGGUGGACGGAUGGGGACACUUAGAUCCAGGGCCCCAGCUACUCCGAUUUUCCACUCUUGACUCACAGUGCCCUGCCCAGAAAGGCCUUUGGGCCCGACUACCCGUGGUUCAGAAGGCCAGAAUUCAGGAGAUGUGUUUGCAUGUGCGAAGUGAGCCAACGAAUGGAAACUCUGGCCCCACCUAGAGGGAACGCCUCGGAGAGACACAACUUCUCUGAAACGACCUGAUAGCAAAAGUUGGGAGAAUUGAGAGCUGGGAGAGGAGAGAUGGUGUCUCUUGGGUCAUACAAAA